GACGAACGCUGGCGGCGUGCUUAACACAUGCAAGUCGAACGGAAAGGCCCUGCUUUUGCGGGGUGCUCGAGUGGCGAACGGGUGAGUAACACGUGAGUAACCUGCCCUUGACUUUGGGAUAACUUCAGGAAACUGGGGCUAAUACCGGAUAGGAGCUCCUGCUGCAUGGUGGGGGUUGGAAAGUUUCGGCGGUUGGGGAUGGACUCGCGGCUUAUCAGCUUGUUGGUGGGGUAGUGGCUUACCAAGGCUUUGACGGGUAGCCGGCCUGUGAGGGUGACCGGCCACAUUGGGACUGAGAUACGGCCCAGACGCCUACGGGAGGCAGCAGUGGGGAAUAUUGCACAAUGGGCGGAAGCCUGAUGCAGCAACGCCGCGUGCGGGAUGACGGCCUUCGGGUUGUAAACCGCUUUCGCCUGUGACGAAGCGUGAGUGACGGUAAUGGGUAAAGAAGCACCGGCUAACUACGUG
rnacentral:rRNA from 1 species